CAUAUUCAACUUCACAUCUAUCCUACACCCAUAUGAUGUAUAUAUUCAUAGAAUCAAAUGGUUUGGUCGAACAACAACCAUAUGCAUAAUAUGGCUUUCAAAGCAUAUUUCAUCAUCUUUCUCUUGUUCCUUUUGAUGCCAUGUUUCAUGGAUUGUAGAGCCAUAAUUGUUGAAGAAAUCCCCCACAUCUCAAAAGGAGGCUUUCUUUCAAAAUUAUACACCAACAUGAUGGAUCUCACAAAAAGAAGAAAAUUGAAGGGACAGGAUUUUAAUCCUCCGUAUUAUUAUCCUCCUACUUGUGGAUUUUACGGAUCCACGCCUUAUUGUGAAAGAUGCAUUUAUAUGCCACCAUAUGUACCGUGUUAUUGCUAAAAAUAGGUAAUUCAUGGUUGUUCAACAAGAAUUUAAAAUUAUAAACAGCUUUUGUAAGAAAUAAAAGCUUGAAAUUUUUCUAGCUGGAUUUCGUAGAAGUUUGAAGUUGUUUGUAAUAUUCAGAUGUUUGUAUGUGUGAUUAAAAUGUCAUUAUCUAUAAUAUUUUAUGUUGUUAUCUGA